rnacentral:rRNA from 1 species
UACGUAGGGUGCAAGCGUUGUCCGGAAUUAUUGGGCGUAAAGAGCUCGUAGGCGGUCUGUCGCGUCGGCUGUGAAAACCCGAGGCUCAACCUCGGGCCUGCAGUCGAUACGGGCAAACUAGAGUACAGAAGGGGCAACUGGAAUUCUCGGUGUAGCGGUGAAAUGCGUAGAUAUCGAGAGGAACACCUGCGGCGAAGGCGGGUUGCUGGGCUGAUACUGACGCUGAGGCGCGAAAGCCAGGGGAGCGAACGGG